CUUUAUAUAGACCGGUGUUGUUCUGAUGCUUUACUUCAUGCCACCAGUGAGGAAACCUUAUAACAGGCUACUUGACUUGCAAUGCAUGAAGAAAGUAUGAGUUAUCCUGCACGCAAAAUAAAGCAAACCCGACCGAAACCCACCCAGAGCUCAGCCGGAGAUACCUCAACAUGUCCACAUACUUUCCUGAAUUCAAAAGAAAAAUAUGCCUUUCCACCGCAUCCUGGUGAUUGGAGAUGAGAGUUUUGUAAACAAAUCUGUUCAUAUUGUGUCAAGCUGCAGAGACUUUGGAUCAACUCACAGAUUUGGGACAAAAUGUGACUAUAAACUGUGAUCUGGAUGAAGAAGAGAUUUAUUGGUUAUUAUUAAAAACAUCAGAUCCUCCUGUGAUGAUAUUACGCACUUUAUCAUCAAAACCUUUAUUCUUCAACAAAACUUUAAGAAACAAAUAUUCACUUCAAUCUAAAAAUCAUCUGUUUAUAAAUAACGUCACUAUUAAUGAAUUAGGAGUUUAUUACUGUAUGAAGACAGAUACACAUCCAAAAUUCAGCAGUGGCACCAGACUACAUUUAAAUGAGCCAACAAAAAAACCAAACCAAGUAACUUCUAUACAGCCAAAUCAUACAGUAGUAAAUGAGAAUGAGAACAGUGACACAUUGUAUCGGACUCUUACUAUCAUACUUGGUCUGCUGAAUGGUGUUUGGUUCAUUGUGGUCCUGGGGCUAUUUAAGGUUUUUGUUGUUGGAAAUAAAAGAUUUGGACAAGGUUCACAACAACUUCACAACACUGAUCUACAGCAGCAUCAAGUUGUAGAGCACCAUCAAGACCCAAAUCAAUUACAGUAUGCAGAAGUGGACUUUUCAAAACUGCGUAAAAAAUAUCGACCCAGCAAAGUCGAUAGUACUUAUGCUGCUCUGAAGCUGCCAAAAUUGCAAACAUAAGCCUAGGACUAAUCUGAUCUUACAGUGUACAGUAUUAUCAAUACAUCACAGAUGACCUCACAGAUUUACAUAUAUAAGUUAAGAGGUUUUUAUGUUUUUGAAUAAUUGAUUCAAUGUGGUGACUGAUGCUGCUUAUCCAGUGUGGUUUGUUAAAUACUGUAUAUAUAUUCAUCCGUCGAAAUUGCAGCUGGGUUGUCGGUAACUUACCGUAGAUUUAAAUUUAUGUUUUUUACUGGCAACAUUUUGUUCAAAGUUAAAUAAACAUUUAACAUUUACAAGUCUUUGUCUUUACAGAGUAAAACUAAUAAAACAGCAUCAAGCAAACAUUCUGGGAAACAAAAUCUGAAGCAAAAAACAGAAAAAGGUUGAUGAAGAUUUCUGGUUCCCAGAAUGCUUUGCAUGAGGCUGUUAUUGUAUACUUUUAUUCUGUAAAGAUAAAGACUUGUUAAUAUUUAACAUUUAUUUAACUUUGAACAAACUCUUGCCAGUAAAUAACAUAAUCUAAAUCUACAGUAAAUUACCGGCAACCCAGCUGCAAUAACAUUGUAAUUUCUACGGAAUUUUUUCUGUGUUCUGUGUUACUGUUUACCAAGUUGUCAAAUAUUUAUUGUUAACGGUAUGUGUGUGUUAAAAAUAUCUUAUGUCUAUAUGUGGUGUUGAGAUUGUCCUUAAAUGAUUUCAAAAGGAGCAGAAAAAAACGUGAGAAAGAAAUUGAAUGCGAGUUGAACUUCCUCUCUUUGAUGUAAACGAAAGGUUCUCACGAUACAGUUAAGAGUUUUGAAGCUUGCUUUCAUCUAUAAAAAUUUAUCAAGACAAGUUUUUACAGUAAUAGGCCUUUAAAAUAUGAAUUAAUAAAUGUAUUCUGGGAUGGAGUUGUUGAGGCUUUUUUGGAGAUGAGCAACUGUAAUAAAAACUCAUCCUCUUUCACAUCAAUAUUAAAGUAAAUGU